AUAUGAAACACUUAGGAGUCUUGUUAAAAUGCAGAUUCUGAGUUGGUAAAUCUGAAAUAGGACCCGAGAUUCUGCAUUUCUAACAAGCUCCCAGAUGAUGCCAUU
rnacentral:pre_miRNA from 1 species